UAUCAAGCUCAGCCUUUCCACUCUCUGCAGGGUCAAGUGAAAAACUUGGGAAGAUCUCAGAAAGAAAAUGCAGAGAAGCCACGGAUUCCCUAAUCGAAGGCCUACAAUUCCAAGGAUCUGAGCCAUCGGACUUCUAGCAGCGUCUGCUUGGGGGCUAACACCUGGGAGCUAAGACAGAUGCUCUCUGUUGACUGUUUGUUUGUCUUUGAAGAAGCUGCCUGAGCACACCCACUGCCUGAGUAUGCCAGCCAGCCCCCUGAAGAUCUUCUGAACCUGAGGACUUUGGCACCUGAGCCUUCUUUGCAGUGUAAUCUAGAGACUUGGUUUUGGUUUCUCCUGUGACCAUAAAAACCCUACCUUAUUCUAAGUAAAGUGGAGCCUUGAUUGGGACG